CCUACGGGAGGCAGCAGUGAGGAAUAUUGGUCAAUGGGCGAGAGCCUGAACCAGCCAAGUCGCGUGAGGGAGUACUGCCCUAUGGGUUGUAAACCUCUUUUGUCGGGGAGCAAAAGCCGGACGUGUCCGGCUGUGAGAGUACCCGAAGAAAAAGCAUCGGCUAACUCCGUGCCAGCAGCCGCGGUAAUACGGAGGAUGCGAGCGUUAUCCGGAUUUAUUGGGUUUAAAGGGUGCGCAGGCGGAUUUUUAAGUCAGCGGUAAAAUCGUGGGGCUCAACCCCAUCCAGCCGUUGAAACUGGGGAUCUAGAGUGUGCGAGAGGUAGGCGGAAUGCGUGGUGUAGCGGUGAAAUGCAUAGAUAUCACGCAGAACCCCGAUUGCGAAGGCAGCAUACCGGUGCACAACUGACGCUCAGGCACGAAAGCGUGGGUAUCGAACAGGAUUAGAUACCCUAGUAGUC
rnacentral:rRNA from 1 species